rnacentral:rRNA from 1 species
CCGUCCGAGUCGCAUUAGAGAAGCGUUAUCCGUGCUGGACCGUGUAUAAGUCUCCUGGAAUGGAGCGUCAUAGAGGGUGAGAAUCCCGUCUUUGACACGGACUACCAGUGCAUUGUGAUGCGCUCUCGACGAGUCGAGUUGUUUGGGAAUGCAGCUCAAAAUGGGUGGUAAAUGCCAUCUAAAGCUAAAUAUUGGCGAGAGACCGAUAGCGAACAAGUACCGUGAGGGAAAGAUGAAAAGAACUUUGGAAAGAGAGUUAAACAGUACGUGAAAUUGUCGAAAGGGAAACGGUUGCAGUCAGUCGCGUCCGCCGGGGAUCAACCUUGCUUUUGCUUGGCGUAUUUCCCGGUGGAUGGGUCAGCAUCAGUUUUGACCGCAGUUGAAAGGCUGGAGGAAUGUGGCACCUUCGGGUGUGUUAUAGCCUCCUGUCAUAUGCUGCGGUUGGGACUGAGGAACUCAGCACGCCGCAAGGCCGGGAUUCGUCCACGUUCGUGCUUAGGAUGCUGGCAUAAUGUCUGUAACCGACC